rnacentral:rRNA from 1 species
UACAGAGGGUGCGAGCGUUAAUCGGAAUUACUGGGCGUAAAGCGCGCGUAGGCGGCUUUGCAAGUCGGGUGUGAAAUCCCCCAGGCUUAACCUGGGAACUGCAUUCGAGACUGCAUUGCUAGAGUAUGGGAGAGGGAAGUGGAAUUUCAGGUGUAGCGGUGAAAUGCGUAGAUAUCUGAAGGAACAUCAGUGGCGAAAGCGACUUCCUGGACCAAUACUGACGCUCAUGUGCGAAAGCGUGGGGAGCAAACAGG